AUCUCCUUGGACAGUCUCAAUAGAGCAGCUGUUGUAGCCAGUAGACUCCUCCUCUGUGAGCAGUGACACUCAGCAUCACCUUGAGCCAGCCUAAGGAGACAGAGCAUUCAUUUCAAUGGACAGACAUUUCAGUAUAGGAUCAGCUUAAGACAAUCACAAGAACAUGUAGAAAUGAUUAUUCUUUUCCCAGAAACAGAUGGACUCACUUAAUUGAAGAAGAACCUCGUGUGCCUUUUAACAGCAAACUGAAAGAGCUAAAAUGGAGGAUUUCUCUAGUCCUUGAGGUGGACUCUGACAGUUCAGUACAAAUGCAACAGGAGUCAGGAUACUGGAUCCUGUUGGGGAAGCCCUUUCUGCAGAUCCUGAUGCCUUCCAGCACACCGUUACAGCGCAGCUGGUGCAUGACCAGAGGAUUCUCCAUGGCCCCAGGAGUCUUGGUCUCGUUGGGGAUGAUGCAGCGCACAAAGUGGGGGUGAGUUGAUCUCAAGU